UACGUAGGGGGCAAGCGUUGUCCGGAAUCAUUGGGCGUAAAGAGCGCGUAGGCGGCCCGAUUAGUCCGCUGUGAAAGUCAAGGGCUCAACCCUUGAAAGCCGGUGGAUACUGUCGGGCUAGAGUCCGGAAGAGGCGAGUGGAAUUCCUGGUGUAGCGGUGAAAUGCGCAGAUAUCAGGAGGAACACCGAUGGCGAAGGCAGCUCGCUGGGACGGUACUGACGCUGAGAUGCGAAAGCGUGGGGAGCGAACAGGAUUAGAAA
rnacentral:rRNA from 1 species